GAAUCUUAUAGACCAUCAUUAUUGGUACUAUGAAUAUGAAAAAAAAAAAAAAAAAAGUUUAUAUCUUUAACUUUCAAAAAGUGUAUACAAAACAUGUGUGUCAUUUUUUUAUUUCAUUUUAUAGAGGGUUUACAAUUGGAUGUUGAUCGUUUCAGGCAUAAUUUCAAUUUUUAUUGUUUUUGAAGGAAUAUUUACUUAUCCCUUAAAAGAUUUAUUUUUGAUGAUAAUUUAUUCCGCAUUGACAUGGGCUAAUGCUGUAUCUUGUUGGAAAGUUACACAAGUAUUAUUUACUGGAAGACGCAGUCAAGACACUCUUUUAGAUAGCCUAAGUACACAAAAAAAAAAAUAAUUACUUUUUUUCAUUUUUUGAUAAAUAUAGUUAUAAAUAUAUUAAUGGGCAAACUAAUAUUGAGGAAAUAUACAUAAAAUUAUGUUUUUUUUACAUAGUACAAACUAUUUU
rnacentral:lncRNA from 1 species